rnacentral:rRNA from 1 species
AUCUGGGCGGCGGAAUUCAGGAUGGCGAGCGUGCCUUCGCGGUACGCUGGUCGUUUGAUAUUUCCGUCGCCAAUCACCCGCAGACGUCGCGACCUGUUCGCGGUCGGUCCCUGCUCGGAGGAGCCGUGUUCGAGUUCGUUGCGUGCGCGUUUCGGCGUGUCACGCGGCGAAGACACGGAUCUCUGGCUGGCCGUCGGACAGUACGCUUAACGGUGUCCGGUGCCGUCGUCUCGUACGCGCGCGCACCGGUACCGGUCAGCGACGAAUUCUUCGGGCCUCUUUCCGACCCGUCUUGAAACACGGACCAAGGAGUCUAACAUGCGCGCGAGUCGCGGGGUGUCGAGCGUACUUCGGUGCGUUCGUUACGUUGCGAAACCCGUACAUGUCGAAGGCGUAAUGAAAGUGAAUGGGGAAGAUGGUGUUCCGAGUACACGUUCCGCGAUCGUCGGUAUCGCGGCCGGGCACCCGCAUUCCCGGGGCGUCUCAACGGCCCGUCGCUGAUGCGGACGGUCGUCUCUCGGGGCGGCCGUCGGUCGGCGAUGAACCGA